CGACCGGCGCACGGGUGAGUAACACGUAUCCAACCUGGCUUUUACACAGGGAUAGCCUUUCGAAAGAAAGAUUAAUACCUGAUGGUAUUUAUUUGCCGCAUGGUAAAUAGAUUAAAGAUUUAUCGGUAAGAGAUGGGGAUGCGUUCCAUUAGCUUGUUGGUGAGGUAAAGGCUCACCAAGGCAUCGAUGGAUAGGGGUUCUGAGAGGAAGGUCCCCCACACUGGAACUGAGACACGGUCCAG
rnacentral:rRNA from 1 species